rnacentral:rRNA from 1 species
GACGAACGCUGGCGGCGUGCCUAAUACAUGCAAGUAGAACGCACAGUUUAUACCGUAGCUUGCUACACCAUAGACUGUGAGUUGCGAACGGGUGAGUAACGCGUAGGUAACCUGCCUGGUAGCGGGGGAUAACUAUUGGAAACGAUAGCUAAUACCGCAUAAUAUUAAUUAUUGCAUGAUAAUUGAUUGAAAGGUGCAAAUGCAUCACUACCAGAUGGACCUGCGUUGUAUUAGCUAGUAGGUGAGGUAACGGCUCACCUAGGCGACGAUACAUAGCCGACCUGAGAGGGUGAUCGGCCACACUGGGACUGAGACACGGUCCAGACUCCUACGGGAGGCAGCAGUAGGGAAUCUUCGGCAAUGGACGAAAGUCUGACCGAGCAACGCCGCGUGAGUGAAGAAGGUUUUCGGAUCGUAAAGCUCUGUUGUAAGAGAAGAACGGGUGUGAGAGUGGAAAGUUCACACUGUGACGGUAUCUUACCAGAAAGGGACGGCUAACUACGUGCCAGCAGCCGCGGUAAUACGUAGGUCCCGAGCGUUGUCCGGAUUUAUUGGGCGUAAAGCGAGCGCAGGCGGUUAGAUAAGUCUGAAGUUAAAAGGCUGUGGCUUAACCAUAGUACGCUUUGGAAACUGUUUAACUUGAGUGCAGAAGGGGAGAGUGGAAUUCCAUGUGUGCGGGGAAAGGGUAGAGUAUGGAUGAUCUCGGUGGUUUACACCUUUUUCUC